GACCCGUAAUCCGGGUUGCGGACAGUGUCUGGUGGGUAGUUUGACUGGGGCGGUCUCCUCCUAAAGAGUAACGGAGGAGCACGAAGGUUGGCUAAUCCUGGUCGGACAUCAGGAGGUUAGUGCAAUGGCAUAAGCCAGCUUGACUGCGAGCGUGACGGCGCGAGCAGGUGCGAAAGCAGGUCAUAGUGAUCCGGUGGUUCUGAAUGGAAGGGCCAUCGCUCAACGGAUAAAAGGUACUCCGGGGAUAACAGGCUGAUACCGCCCAAGAGUUCAUAUCGACGGCGGUGUUUGGCACCUCGAUGUCGGCUCAUCACAUCCUGGGGCUGAAGUAGGUCCCAAGGGUAUGGCUGUUCGCCAUUUAAAGUGGUACGCGAGCUGGGUUUAGAACGUCGUGAGACAGUUCGGUCCCUAUCUGCCGUGGGCGCUGGAGAACUGAGGGGGGCUGCUCCUAGUACGAGAGGACCGGAGUGGACGCAUCACUGGUGUUCGGGUUGUCAUGCCAAUGGCACU
rnacentral:rRNA from 1 species